rnacentral:rRNA from 1 species
UACAGAGGGGGCAAGUGUUGUUCGGAAUUACUGGGCGUAAAGGGCGCGUAGGCGGCCGCCUAAGUCAGACGUGAAAUCCCUCGGCUCAACCGGGGAACUGCGUCUGAUACUGGGUGGCUUGAAUCCGGGAGAGGGAUGCGGAAUUCCAGGUGUAGCGGUGAAAUGCGUAGAUAUCUGGAGGAACACCGGUGGCGAAGGCGGCAUCCUGGACCGGCAUUGACACUGAGGCGCGAAAGCCAGGGGAGCAAACGGG